UCCACUGUCUCUGGAAUUAUACAUAUUAACGAUUUGCCCGAAAAGUCUAAGUUGUGAAGGAGAAGGAAUAACAAUUUUGAGUUUCAAACAAAACCGGAGGAUCCCAAUCCAAGAAUCCUAAGACCCUUGGCUUCCAGCCCUGUCUGAAGGAUCCUCAGCUAAGGGUAGGGUGCAAAAAGCUCAAAUAAUUUGAGGAGAGAGGAAUCAAAGUUCCCUAAAUAAAACUGCAGUCCCUUACCCCGAGGAAAGGGGAGUCUUAAAAGAAUCUCCAGGAAAAGAUAGUCUUUUUUUUUUUUUGAUAGUUUUUAUUUUUGUUGAUGCGCUUGUGGGCCAAUGAGAAUUUCCGAGGAGGGGGCGGAGAAAGGGGGGGGGGAGAAAAGUGAAGCUCGGGCAACAGCCCCGGGCGGGGGAGGAAGGGGGCGCACCCCUGACCCACUUUUGCCGACGCCCACCCUCGGCCCCCGCCCCACCGCUGCAAGUCCGAGCCCAGAGGGGGCGAUCGAGCGGGGCGUGGGAGGCCCGCACGCUCCCCACCCCCAGCCGCGACCCGGAGGAGGGCAGCGUGCAAGGCGGCUCGACCCCCCCCCCCCCACCCGAGUGCCCGCGGCUGGAGAAACCUCCCACAGGCUCGCGGCCCAGGUCUGCAAAGCCCCCUCCACCGCCUGGGCCCCGGGCGCCGCGGCCCCCAGCGGAGGGGAAGGGGACCGAGGAGGGGAAGAAGCUGUAAACAGCCCCAGCGUCCGGGCCUCGCCUCGAAGAGCCCCGCUUCCCAGGCCCCGCCGCGGCCGCCUGAGUCCCCAGCCCGUCCGAGGGACGCCCCUCCCGGGGCCUCGGGGACCGGAGGGGAGUCAGGUCUCCUCCCCAGAGGGCUCCGGCAGCUCGCGGAGCGGUCCCAGCAGCAGAGAAGGGGGAAGUCAGGACUUACCUGUCAUUACUUUCUACGCCAUCUUGGAUCCACUUGUCAACGUCCCCACAAAGCAUUAUGGCUGUCUCCUCCCCUCGGCCGGUAACGUGAUCCGUGACCCUCUAGGUGGGGACCCCUCCCCUAGGAAUGUGGCUUUGGGCACUGCCGUAUCCACCCAUUUGCAGUCCCGGCUGAGAGUGGACUGUGACUUCCUGGGGCAGGACACUCCAAAGCCCUGGAGACAGAAAGCAACUUCCUGCCACAUCACUGACUGAAGCUUUGUUGGGCCAGUGUCGCCGUUUUCACUCUUUCCUUUGCGUGAUCUCGCUGCCCCCAGUACCGAUACCUAUAAACAUCUUGCACCCCACACUGUGUCUCUGCCUCUGGAGAGCAUAACCCACCACAGCUGACACCGGCAGUUCCAGGGAGCGGGUGACAAGAUGGCUUUGGAAUAGGCCGGCAAGGAGGUCCCCUUCACUGGCGGUUUGGCGGAAAGGUAAAUAUCCCUUGUGAUUCUCCGGACAAGAAAGGAGCCAAAUGUAUAUUGGAUGUAAGUCCGUUUUAUUAAGGAGCCUGAAAGUAUAAACAACAACCAAAAAAACCUUGCAGACCCACGAGCCUUGUGACCAGCUUUCAUGGAACUCAGCGGUCCUCCUCAGAGCCACAACCAGAGGCCCUCCCAUAACAGUGAACCCCGGUGUCCCAGAAGACAGCAGCAGGGCCAAGGGUUGAUUUAUCAGCCGUUAUUCAAAUCCCCACUUGCACACAGCCGGAUUUCUUUUCAGCGCAGCCUAGUUAUUUUUUGCUGGCCCUUGUAUCACGUCCGCUCGCCUGAUUUACUUGAAUAAAGGCUUGUGUGAAGUGAA